rnacentral:rRNA from 1 species
UGCGUAGGCGGAUUAAUAAGUCAGUGGUGAAAUCUUUCGGCUCAACCGAGAAACUGCCAUUGAUACUGUUAAUCUUGAGUUCGGUUGAGGUAGGCGGAAUGUGUAAUGUAGCGGUGAAAUGCUUAGAUAUUACACAGAACACCAAUUGUGUAGGCAGCUUACUAGACCGACACUGACGCUGAGGCACGAAAGCGUGGGGAGCGAACAGGAUUAGAUACCCUGGUAGUCC